CUUGUGUCAAUUCUACAAUAUAGUUCGUAUGUUCAUACGUUAUAGGAGCGGAAUUAGGCCAUUCGAUCCAUCCAGUCUACUCUGCCAUUCAAUCGUAGCUGAUCUGCCUUUUUCUCUCAACCCCUUACGCUUGGCUUCUCCCCCAUAACCCCU